UACAAGCUGCGUUGUACGUAAUAAUAUGAAGUUUUAACCUUUAAGCUGUAAUAGGGAGUUUUAAUUGAGUACGGACUGGUAUGCCGCAUCCACCUUGAUGCGGACGAACAUGAAAUGCUCUGCGAACACCCACUUUGAGGAGUGGUGGUUUAAAACUUUCGAUAUUUAAAAUUACGGCAAAGGCGGCUUAUUA
rfam:Rummeliibacillus stabekisii strain PP9, complete genome.